GUGUAGCUCAGUUGGUAGAGCGGCGGACUAAUAAUCCGCAGGUCGCUGGUUCAAUUCCGGCCG
rnacentral:tRNA from 1 species